UGGAGUCCUAUUGUCUUGUGACAGUUUCUAAAGACUUUGCUGAUGUUGGAAGUAGUCAGAGCCACUGUCAAAUCCACAGAUUUCAAGGCAGCACAUGGAUGAUCAUACUUCUUGCCUGGGGUUUGGGGAAGCAUUUAAAGAACUUCACGAGAACUUAAAGACCCACCAUUUGAACAUCUGGUCUGGGCUGUUUCCUCUGUCUCCUCAGCGUUGCCUCCGCUGUGCACAUCUGACCUGGUUUCUGGCUGCAUUUCUUCAGUUCCUUCUUCAGUGGGCGUUGACACUGUUAAGUUGUGCCUUCCAGAAGCUGGAGAUGCAGGUCCUUUAGAAUGGAGGAGAGGGCUGCAGGAAACAACUUGACAAGAACUCCAGAAAGACAGACAGGCCUGAGACUCUACUUCACUUUCUGGAUAGACCUGGUCCCCAGAGGAAGGGCAGCACUGGCUCAGAGCUGGGGAUGAGGAGAGGAGGCCUCACAUCAGUGAUGACAGCUAUUUCAUUUCUUUUUUCUUUUCCCUAUAAAAAGAAAAAAAAUCA